UGGUGUUGGCCUCUGUCAACACCAGGUCCAGCUGGAGUGCAUGGACCUCUGCCUGAGGGUGGAUGAGGAGCUAACUAAGAGCUUAUGACAACAUUAAAGGGAGGACAGGCACAGGUGACAUUUUAGUGGGGAUCUGCUACAGGCCACCUGACCAGGAAUACAGAGUGGAUAAAGCCCUCUACAGAGAGAUAGGAGCAGCCUCACAUUCACAAGCCCUGGUCUUUAUGGGGGACUUCAAGCACUUGGAUAUCUGUUGGAGGGAUAACACAGCAGGGCAUAAUGCAUUCCUUGAGCACCCUGGAUUGUUUGAGGAUAAAUUGCUCCUCUAAGUAAUGGAGGAGCUAUCAAGAAGAGGUGUUAUCAUGCUAUAGUCUCACCAACAAGGAGGGACUGAUAGCAAAUGUGAAGCUCAAGGCCAGCCUGGGCUGCCAUGGUGGAGUUAAAGAUUCUUAGGGAAGCAAGGAGUGCGCACAGCAAGCUCACUACCCUCAACUUCAGGAGAGCAGACCUUGGCCUCUUUGGGAUCUGUUUGGUAGAGAACAGUUGACUAAAGCCCUGGAAGGGCAAAGGGUCCAAGAAAUAUUAUUAAUAUUCAAGGACCACCUCCUCCAAGCUCAGGAGUGAUGAAUUCCAGAAAAGAGGAAGACAGGCAAAAACACCAGAAGGCCUGCAUGGAUGAACAAAGAGCUCCUGGACAAACUCAAACAUAAAACGAAAGCCUAUAGAGAGUGGAAGCAAGGACAAGCAGCCUGGGAGGAAUACAGAGAGAUUGUCUGAGCAGUCAGGGAUCAGGUUAGGAAAGCUAAAGUCCUGAUAGAAUUAAACCCGGCCAGCCAUGUCAAAGGCAAGAAAAACUUCUACAGGUAAGUUGGUCAUAAAGGGAAGACUUGGGAAAAUAUGGGCCCUCUUUGGAAGAAAACAUGAGACCUGGUUACCUGGGACACAGACAAGGCUGAGAGAAGGUGGAAACUGGGGGUCUCUGCUUCUGUGAAUGUGUCUGAGCUCAUUUUCCCUUUCCGUGAUACAGUCUUAGAUUUCAGCAUCUAUGAUUCAUUCAUCUUCCAUGGACAUAUCAGCAACUGUCAUCUUUACUGACCCAUUCCCUGGGAGAGGAUUUCAAGUAUGAAGUAUGACUUUCUCCAGGUGUUACAGGUUUCCUAGAACUUAUGGCUGUUGCUAUAAUUUUCUAAGCAGUAGAUGGUGACUAGGAAUCCUUUUGUUUUACACCAUACUCAGGUAGCUCUGCAUAAGACUGAGGAAAUUUGCAUGAAUGAAGAAGUAGACUGUUAAAUUUGGCAUAUAAGUGAGGAAAGAUAUGGCUGAAAUGGGGAAAAAAGGGACUGAAUUCAGUUGCUAACCUUUCAGAUUUGCAUCUGUGCUAGGGAGGGAUAUACCAACUAAUUAAUUUAAUGGUCUUCUGCGGAGGUCAGUAAAGCUAAGACGAUCCCAAGGAGGCAAGAAGCUGAGAUGCUUUAUCGGACUUACAAGUUCAUAUUUAAAGGGUUUAUGGUUUACAUAUUCAACAGGGGUUUACAUAUUCAUCGAGGGGGGGUUGCAAAUUCAUUCUAUUAAAACUGGGGAGUUUCCACAAGGAUGAAGUAACAGGGAAAAACCCAGAUUGACAAAUCUUGGGGUCUUAGGAAUUACCUCAUGGGGAAAAAUCUAUUUUAUCUUAGGGGAUUUUACAGGGGGGAACAGGUAUUUGGGUCUACAAAAUGCAAGGAUUCGGGGAACACAAAGGGAGAGACAAGGUACAAUGGGUCUUCUGCACAGGUUUGAUGAGAUCAGGGCAUGGUUUCUCCAGGCUUGGGCAGGACAUUCCAAACCCGUGACAUAAAUGGAACCUUGUCUGGACUCUAGAUGGAGGUUUUUUCCCAGUCUCUGUCAGCCCAAGGCUUUUCUUUUUCUUUUUCUCAUAUACAAAUUUUGAAAUCCAACAGUCUUCAUAGCAGCCUAGCAAUAUAAGGAAUUGACUCUAAUGCUAAACCAAUGUUAUCUGCAAUUCUGCAAUAUAACCUAGACUGCCAAAGCAACUGAGAGAACAAGGCUUCUGGUUUCAUUUUUGGUUGGUUGGUUGGUUUGGUUUUAUUUGUUUGGGUUUGUUUGUUUGGUUGGUUAUUUAAUAUAAAUGGAAGAAAUCCAAUCUUUCCCAUGCUGUAAAUAAGUAACUGAAAUAGAACAUUACUUACUUUGAUGGGUGACUCUUAUAAAUACAGACUUAAUAGAAACAAGGACAUUGUCUGGAGUAAAUUCCUAUGACAGCUAAAAAUGUUAUGAGAAGUGGGAAAAAUGAAGAUUAAAGACCUUUAUUAGUAUACCAAUUUAUUUUCUAUUUCUUUUUAUUUUCCACAGAUUUUCUUAAAUGAGCUUUUCUGUCACUGUGCUAUUCCUGUUUCUGACCAUUUCUACUAUUUUUAUUUAUGUACUUAUUUACUUCACUGAAAUAAGAUGUCAUUUAACUCCCCUCAUCCUUUCUCAACUCCUUCUCAAUACUAAACUUUAUUUGUUUAUUAUUUUUUAUUAUUUUAUCUUCAGACAUUCUCAUGACACUCUGUCUUAAAUUACAUAUUCUUAUUGAUGUCACAUUUCUGUGAUUUAUUUAUACUUUCAUGUGCCCCUGGGUACAUUUGGUCCUGUGUUCUGGUUUCUGCAUUUCUCCUGUGAUUUCACAGCUUCUUCCAACCUCACAUACUCUCUUUCAGUCCUUUCAGACUCAUUCUUUUCCAAACUUUCACCCUUCCUAUUUCUUUAAAUUUGGUGUUUUGUUUUACUUUUUUUUAAAUUAUAUACCAUCCCAAUUUUCAGUCACAGUCUUCAGAGAAAUUAUGCAUUUAGCAAUCUGGGUUUAAAGUUUCAACAAACUAAAAAACUUUUGGAGAAUGUUGAAAGAUUUCUCUCUCUCUCCUUCUCAUUAUAAUUUGCAGCCAAUGGCAAAUUUCCUGAGGAGGAAUAUUCUCUGCUGCAUGGCUUGUAUGUUUAGGUGUUGCCUGUAUAUAUCUUGCCAAGUCCACCUCACUGAUUUCAUGAAUUGUAGGAUCAUUUAGGUUGGCAACCUCCAAGAUCAUCAAGUCCAAUCUUUGACCAAACACCACCUUGCAACUAGACCACAGCACGAAGUGCAGUGGCCCAUCCUUUCUUGAACACCUUCAGGGAUGGUGAUUCCAUCACCUCCCUGGGCAGUUCAUUCAAUAUCUUAACCACCCUUUCAGUAAAGAAAUUAUUCCUAAAGUCCAGCCUAAACCUGCUCUUGGUGUAGCUUGGGGCUAUGUCCUCUUUUCCUACUACUAGCUGUCUGGGAGAAGACGCCAACCUCCACUUGGCUAUAACCUCCUUUCAGGCAGUUGUAGAGAGCGGUAAGGCCCCCUGAGCUUCCUUUUUUUCCAGGCUAAACAAACCUAGCUCCCUCAGCUGCUCUUCAUAUGACUUACUCUCUAGACUUUUCACCAGCUCUUCUCUGGACACUCUUCCGCACACCAAUGUCUUUCUUGUAGGGAGGGGCCCAGAACUGGACACAGUACUCAAGGUGUGGCCUCAUCCAUGUUGAGUACAGAGGGAAAAUCACUGUCCUAGUUCUGCUGGCCACACUGUUCCUGAUACAGGCCAGGAUGCCAUUGGCCUUCUUGUCCACCUGGACACACUGCUGGCUCAUGUUCAGAUGACUGUCAACCAACACACCCAGGUCCUUUUCUGCUGGGCUGCUUUCCAGCCAAUCCACCUGUAUCACUGCUUGGGGUUGUUGUGACCCAAGUGCAGGACCCAACACUUUGCGCUAUUGAACCUCAUACAACUGGCCUCGGCCCAUCAAUACAGACUACUGAGAUCCCUUUGCAGAACCUUCCUACCCCCCAGCAGAUCAAUGGUCCUGUCCAACUUGGUGUUAUCCGCAAACUUACUGAAGCUGCACUUGAUUCCUUCACCCAGAUCAUCAAUAAAGGUAUUAACCAGGAUUGGCCUCAAUACUGAGCCCUGCAGAACACCAUUGGAGACUGGCCACCAACUGGGUGUAACUCCAUUCACCACCAGUCUCUAUGCUAGGCAAUCCAGUGAGUUUUUAAUCCAGCCAAGGAAAACACAGAAUAAAAAGGCAGAGACUAGAA